AGCGAACGUUAGCGGCACGCCUAACACAUGCAAGUCGCACGAGAAAGGGAGCAAUCCUGAGUAGAGUGGCGCACGGGUGCGUAACACGUAGAUAACCUGCCCUUUGGAGGGGGAUAACGUUCCGAAGGGAGCGCUAAUACCGCAUAAUGCCUUUUCCGGUUUGCCGGAGAUUGACAAAGGUAGGGACCCGCAAGGGCCUACCGCCAGAGGAGGGGUCUGCGGCCCAUCAGCUAGUUGGGGAGGUAANGGCUCACCAAGGCAGAGACGGGUAGCUGGUCUGAGAGGAUGAUCAGCCACACUGGUACUGGAACACGGACCAGACUCCUACGGGGAGGCAGCAGUGGGGAAUCUUGGUCAAUGGGCGCAAGCCUGAACCAGCGAUGCCGCGUGAGUGAUGAA
rnacentral:rRNA from 1 species